rnacentral:rRNA from 1 species
UGAGGGAUAUUGGUCAAUGGGCGCAAGCCUGAACCAGCGACGCCGCGUGGGUGAAGAAGGUCUUCGGAUCGUAAAGCCCUUUUCCCACUGAAGAGGAAGGACGGUAGGUGGGGAAGAAGUCUCGGCUAACUACGUGCCAGCAGCCGCGGUAAAACGUAGGAGACAAGCGUUAUCCGGAGUUACUGGGCGUAAAGGGCGUGCAGGUGGCGUCUUAAGUCUGUUGUGAAAGCGCCUGGCUUAACCGGGCGAGGCCAAUGGAGACUGAGAGAAUGGAGAACAGCGUAAGGGUGGGGAAUUCCGGGUGUAGUCGUGAAAGGCAUAGAGAUCCGGAGGAACACCAGAGGCGAAGGCGGCACUCUAAGCCGUACC